AGCUGGACCCUGAGGCCUGGAUUGAAUUUCCCUAGGUGGGGAGAGGAAAGAGAAAGUAGGGGGAGCUUUCCCAGCAGCUAUUCAGAGGUGGAAAUGGCAGGGAGUGUUUAAGGAUGACCAUUUGGUGGGGCACAGUGUUGGAGUGGAGUGAUGGAAUGAGCCGAGCGGAGCAGCUAUGGGAGAACCAUUGAAGAUAUUACAUGGAAGAAUGCAUAUGAAGAGCCAUGGACAGUGCCCACACGUGGACUUAUUCAUCUAACUGGAAGUUUGUAUCUUUUCACCACCAUCACCGAUUUCCCCCAUGCGAUAAGUAAACUUGAAGAAUGCACAACAUCUGUGCUUAUAAUUGAACUUUGCUUUAUAACCAACAUCCUGAGCCGAAAUGAUCCUU
rnacentral:lncRNA from 1 species